UGGGGAAUAUUGCACAAUGGGGGAAACCCUGAUGCAGCGACGCCGCGUGAACGAAGAAGGUAUUCGUAUCGUAAAGUUCUGUCCUAUGGGAAGAUAAUGACAGUACCAUAGAAGAAAGCUCCGGCUAAAUACGUGCCAGCAGCCGCGGUAAUACGUAUGGAGCGAGCGUUGUCCGGAAUUAUUGGGCGUAAAGGGUACGCAGGCGGUUUAAUAAGUCGAAUGUUAAAGAUCGGGGCUCAACCCCGCAAAGCAUUGGAAACUGAUAAACUUGAGUAGUGGAGAGGACAGUGGAAUUCCUAGUGUAGUGGUGAAAUACGUAGAUAUUAGGAGGAAUACCAGUAGCGAAGGCGACUUUCUGGACACAAGCUGACGCUGAGGUACGAAAGCGUGGGGAGAAAACAGG
rnacentral:rRNA from 1 species